CACAUUAUAAGCCUUCGCAUAGGUGCAGAGGAGGAAGGAGAGAGUUAUCUAUUAUGGCCUUUAGUUUUGCAUGUAAGGGGCCCUUAUUGCAUCCUUGCUUUGCCGUUGAUUGAGCCAAGGCAUUUANNNNAAAAGUAUAUUCAAGAUUAUGCAGAAGAUCUGAUUGUGGAAAUGCUGCUGGAGUGGAUGAAAGCAUAUCUUCUCUCCUGCUUGAUCUUCCUUCCAUCACAGGGGCAUUCAUGGUGGCACUUGCUAUUGGUGAUAUAAUUAUUGGUGAUAUGGUGGAUCCAGAGGUGGUUGUAAGUGUGUCACCAUCUGUGGGAGGACUAUUGGAUUCCUUAACUGGAAGCAUAGGGAUAUCAGGUAUCUCUUCUAGGGCAAAACCUGUUGCAGCACCAGUUGCAUCUGCUACGCCAUCCAGCACUGCCGCAAUUGGAGCUGUUGCAUCAGAUGCUCCAAAAAUUGGAACAAGGCCUUUGGAUAAAGAUGCACUUCGAAAUUUCAUAAGUGGUGCAAUGCCCUUCGGUACUCCCCUGGACCUCAACUACUCCAACAUUUUCUCUGUCAAGGUUAACGGGUUUUCUUCAUCAGAUCUGCCCCCAUCAGACCUAAAACAACCAGCAUGGAAACCAUAUCUUUACAAAGGAAAGCAAAGAAUACUAUUCACUGUUCAUGAGAUUGUUCACGCUGCCAUGUAUGAUAGAGAUGACAUAUCAGACACCAUAUCCAUCGCAGGGCAAAUAAACUGUCGAGCAGAAUUGGAAGGCUUGCCUGAUGUAUCACUCCCUUUGACCGGGUUGAACAAGGCUCAUGUGGAAGUCUUAUCUUUCCAUCCUUGUGCUCAAGUUCCAGAACAAGGUGUGGAUAAGCAGGCCAUGAUGUUUUCACCGCCAUUAGGCAAUUUUGUUUUGGUGCGUUACCAGGCAAAUUGUGCCUUUGGUCCUCCUAUAAUGGGAUUUUACCAGUUGUCAAUGGUCUCUGAGGACGAAGGUGCAUUUCUAUUCAAGUUGCAAAUAAUGGAAGGUUAUAAGGCUCCUUUGACAAUGGAAUUCUGUAAUGUAACUAUGCCCUUUCCAAGAAGAAGAAUUGUGUCUUUUGAUGGGACUCCUUCCGUUGGAACUGUUUCAACAACAGAGCACUCAGUUGAAUGGAAAAUUAUUCCAAGUGGUAGGAGCCUCACUGGGAAAAGUAUUGAAGCAACUUUCCCUGGAACAGUUCGAUUUGCGCCAUGGCAAAUUCAAAGAGCGCCUUCCUCAAAGUCUGGUUCUGAUAACAGGAGUGACGGAGAUAGUGAUUUUGAGACUGAGAGCACAAACAAUAUGGUAAAUGUGGAGGAA
rnacentral:misc_RNA from 1 species